rnacentral:lncRNA from 1 species
UAGAAGUCUGUGCUUGUGCUUGCAAGGGACAAAAGUUAUCCAAAGAAAUUAAAGAAUAAAAUAAGUUAGAUUAAAAUAGUAGUUUUGUCAUACUGCAGUUUUUCUUUUAGCUGCAGCUACGCUCAUCUGGGUUUGUGUUUUUCGCAGUGUUGGUUACAUUCUCUCUCUCUCUCUCUCUCUCUCUCUCCGUUCUCUUCGCACUUCAACAUUUCGUUCAUGUACCUUCGAUUGGUACGUUUCCUUCUCUUUUUACUUCAUUAUUCUUUCAUUCACAUUUUUGAAACCCCGUUUUCUUAGGUUUUUUGUUCCGUUAAUUCGUAAUUACUGCAUCAAUUUGGGAUUAGGGUUUUAUGAUUUUAUCAAAUCGUCACAUUGCAUAUUAAUCUGUUAAAAUUUUCUUACUUUUUGGUGGGUUUUAUGUUCUUGGAUUUGCUUCUGUAUUUGUGUUCUUUUAGGGUUUCUUCACUCACCCGUUUACUGUUUGAUUUUAUUUUUAGGGAUGCUUUGAAUUGUUGCUAGGGUAAGAGAUCUUGAAUUCUUGAUGACAAGGUUUAUUUACUUGCUCUGGUUUUACAGUUAGUAAAUGUAUUUAAGACUUUGGUCAGUCUUGUGUGCCAAGAAAUUAGGUUUUCUUUCUCAGUGUGAUUUCUUGGCGGUGUCCCUUCAGAUAUGAUAAUAGGGAGUCAAUUGCGGAUAGCGGUUGACCCCAAAAACACUAUAGCAGGAUACUGGAUAUUGGGAUGACCCUGCAACUAAGGGAAAAAAUGUGAGUAAUUUAUAUCCUAAACAUAUAAAUACACAAAAAUAAACUUCAAAUAUACCAGAUUAUAUGUUAUACCCUACACAUAUAAAUAUAAAAAUACACCAAAAUACAUUUAAAUAUAAGUAAUUCAUACUCUAAGUUUUGAUCACAAAAAGAAACUCACAGAAGGAAGGGAAGGGAUAAACAAAAGGAAAGGAAGGGAAGUGGGAGGCAAAAUGAAAACAAAAAAGAUAGUAAGUAAUGUACAUUAAAAUCGGAAAGUGUUGAACGUGUAAAGAGGGAAAACAAAAAGAAAUUCAUAGAAGGAGGGGAAGGGGGAGAAUGGAAGGGGCAAAAGGGACUAGGGAGGAGAAGAAGGGAAGGAAGUGAAAUAUGUGUUUUCACGUGACUUUUUAAAGGAAGGAAAGGGAGGAGUGUUUUUUUAAAAAUAACCCUAAAAACCAAUGACAUGUAAUAAAAAAAUAAGGGGGAAAAUGACAUUUCCCAAUAAAAUUAGGGUUCUUCAUGCUGCAGUGGGUUUUGCCCAUGUCUCUGAUGCAACUCAACCCGAUAUGGGCGUGAUGGCCACCCGCACUGAUAUUCACCAUUCCGUCGCGGGGAAGGAUGGCAAUGUCCGCAACCUUUGCUAUUGCGUGCAAUUGACUACCUACAUAUGAUAUGUUGGGUAUAUGCUUAACUGUCCCACUUUCUUAAUCCUGGUGAACUUAUUUUAUGUAUGGGAGUUUUGAAUAGUGUCGAAGAGAGUAACUUAUUGUGGAAUUGAAAGGCAGAUAAUGCAAUGAAGAAGAACAUGUCCAUUCAUUGUUUGGUUGUUUAACUUGUUUUGCAAGGAUGGGAAGGGGAAUUCAUGCCAUUCCAUCUUUUCCUUGGGUGGCAAAAGAAGGGACUUGGGCUUCCCUUCCCAUUUCGCCCCUUCUUUACAAAAUCACUCCUAAUGACUAUUUUUGCAGUAUCUUAGUGUUCCAUAUCACAAGAGCAUAUUAUUUGAAUAGUUUAAGCAGAAUGGUAAUUCAAUUAACCAUCUAUUUAUGUGUUUUCUUGUUUUCCGUGGAUGAAAUUGUGGUUGUUUAAUGCCUUUUCAUUCCACAUAUUAUAUCUUUGUCAGAAGUUCUUUUAAUCAAUAAUCAUGUGUCAUUGAUGUAAAGUGCAUUACAUAUUAUAUCUUUGUUACUUAUGGCAAUUGCGAGCGCAGUCCAUUGAUACUUCUGCUCUCAAUUGCAUAUGAGGGAACCAAUGAAUCAAAACAUGACCUUGGCAUAUAGGAAUCUCAAAG